GUAAGAUAAACUGAAAGAAUGAAGGGAGAAGCAACACAUGGAGAUAAUAAAAAAGAGGAAGGAUGAUAUAAUGAUAAUAGGAAGUAGGAUAGACUGAAAAAUUAAGAGAAGUAACAAAAAGGAGGGAAGAAAAAGAGAAAGGUCUGUGAGGUAACGAAAAGAAGGGAAUGAAAAAGAGAAAGGUCAGUGAAGUAACGAAAAGGAGGGAAUGAAAAAGAGAAAGGUCAGUGAAGUAACAAAAAGGAGGGAAUGAAAAAGAGAAAGGUCAGUGAAGUAACGAAAAGGAGGGAAUGAAAAAGAGAAAGGUCAGUGAUGUAACGAAAAGGAGGGAAUGAAAAAGAAAAAGGUCAGUGAAGUAACGAAAAGGAGGGAAUGAAAAAGAAAAAGGUCAGUGAAGUAACAAAAAGGAGGGAAUGAAAAAGAGAAAGGUCAGUGAAGUAACAAAAAGGAGGGAAUGAAAAAGAAAAAGGUCAGUGAAGUAACAAAAAGGAGGGAAUGAAAAAGAGAAAGGUCAGUGAAGUAACAAAAAAAGGAGGGAAGAAAAAAGAGAAAGGUCAGUGAAGUAACGAAAAGGAGUGAAGAAAAAGAGAAAGGUCAG